rnacentral:rRNA from 1 species
AGAGUUUGAUCCUGGCUCAGGAUGAACGCUGGCGGCGUGCCUAACACAUGCAAGUCGAGCGAGAUUUAGUGUAGUGGAGACUUCGGUCAAAGUGAAACUGAUGAAAGCGGCGGACGGGUGAGUAACGCGUGGGCAACCUGCCCCAUACAAAGGGAUAGCCACUGGAAACGGUGAUUAAUACCUUAUAAGUCGGUAGUCUCGCAUGAGACAGCCGACAAAGAUUUAUCGGUAUGGGAUGGGCCCGCGUUUGAUUAGCUAGUUGGUGAGGUAACGGCUCACCAAGGCGACGAUCAAUAGCCGACCUGAGAGGGUGAUCGGCCACACUGGAACUGAGACACGGUCCAGACUCCUACGGGAGGCAGCAGUGGGGAAUAUUGCACAAUGGGCGCAAGCCUGAUGCAGCAACGCCGCGUGAGUGAUGAAGGCCUUCGGGUCGUAAAACUCUGUCCUAUGGGAAGAAAAAAAUGACGGUACCAUAGGAGGAAGCCCCGGCUAACUACGUGCCAGCAGCCGCGGUAAUACGUAGGGGGCAAGCGUUAUCCGGAAUCACUGGGCGUAAAGGGUGCGUAGGUGGCUCAUCAAGCCAGAGGUGAAAGGCAUUGGCUCAACCAAUGUAAGCCUUUGGAACUGACGAGCUUGAGUGCAGGAGAGGUAAGUGGAAUUCCUAGUGUAGAGGUGAAAUUCGUAGAUAUUAGGAGGAACACCAGUGGCGAAGGCGACUUACUGGACUGUAACUGACACUGAGGCACGAAAGCGUGGGGAGCGAACAGGAUUAGAUACCCUGGUAGUCC